CAGUCGAGCGAACAGAUAAGGAGCUUGCUCCUUUGACGUUAGCGGCGGACGGGUGAGUAACACGUGGGUAACCUACCUAUAAGACUGGGAUAACUUCGGGAAACCGGAGCUAAUACCGGAUAACAUUUGGAACCGCAUGGUUCUAAAGUGAAAGAUGGUUUUGCUAUCACUUAUAGAUGGACCCGCGCCGUAUUAGCUAGUUGGUAAGGUAACGGCUUACCAAGGCAACGAUACGUAGCCGACCUGAGAGGGUGAUCGGCCACACUGGAACUGAGACACGGUCCAGACUCCUACGGGAGGCAGCAGUAGGGAAUCUUCCGCAAUGGGCGAAAGCCUGACGGAGCAACGCCGCGUGAGUGAUGAAGGGUUUCGGCUCGUAAAACUCUGUUAUUAGGGAAGAACAAAUGUGUAAGUAACUGUGCACGUCUUGACGGUACCUAAUCAGAAAGCCACGGCUAACUACGUGCCAGCAGCCGCGGUAAUACGUAGGUGGCAAGCGUUAUCCGGAAUUAUUGGGCGUAAAGCGCGCGUAGGCGGUUUCUUAAGUCUGAUGUGAAAGCCCACGGCUCAUCCGUGGAGGGUCAUUGGAAACUGGGAAACUUGAGUGCAGAAGAGGAAAGUGGAAUUCCAUGUGUAGCGGUGAAAUGCGCACAGAUAUGGAGGAAACACCAAUGGCGAACGGGACUUUCUGGUCUGUAACUGACGCUGAUGUGCGAAAGCGUGGGGAUCAAACACGGACUACAUACGCGGGUAGUCCACGCCGUACACGAUGA
rnacentral:rRNA from 2 species